AUGGCUUCCAAUGGUGUCUUCGCUGAAUUACUCCGUGCCUACAAACUUGAUGGAACAAACUACACGGUUUGGAAAAGGAAGAUUAUGUUCUUGCUUACGGCUGAGAAUAUAGAUUAUGUUUCUGAGACCGGGGCGCCUAAUGAGCCAGCAGAGGAUGCUACAGAUGAAGACAAACAGGAAUACAAUGAUGAACUGAAGCAAUGGACCAAGGACAACAAGACUGCCAGAGUUUAUAUUCUUGGCUCGAUGACUGAUUCGUUGGCUGCGGAAUAUGAGUCGGAUAAAACGGCCUGCGGAAUAAUGCUCAGGCUGGAACAAGAUUUUGGAGAAGUUUCCCUUGUGAAGGUGCUUAGCCUUGUGAAUAAAUUUCUGACAUCAAAGAUGGGUGAUAAAACAGUCAAUGAACACUUCAACAAGCUCUGUGUCUUGGCGGAAGAGUUAAAAACUGCUGGCUAUCCGUUCCAGGAGGAAGUCCAAGUCAUGGUUGUCCUGAACUCUUUACCACCAUCAUGGGAACAAUUCAAGAUUUCUUUUUGUCAUUCAGAGCGCACACUCAAUAUGAGGAACCUGAGGCAACACUUGCUGAUGGAGGAGGACCGCAGGCUCAACUCAGGAAAAGAUAAAGUUUUUUAUCAGCCAGAACUUCACCUUGGUGAGUACAAGAAUAGUGGGAAUCGGAGGAACUGGAAUAAGAAAGGAGGACCAGACCUAAGGGACAAGAUCAAUUACAAACGUGAUAGGGAUCAAAGAAACUACAGAGAUGACAGGAGGGACAGGGGGCAAAGCAACAACAACAACUCUUUUCACAAGAUUGACAAGAGGAACUACAAGUGCCAUAAUUGUGGUAAUACAGGCCACUUCAGGUCAGAAUGCACCAAGAAGAGGAAGCCGAAUAGCGAAAGGAAUAAUUUUCACAAGGAUGACAGCCGCAAGGGGAAUCAAUCCCCUGAAGCUGCAGGGGUUUACUGA
rnacentral:rRNA from 1 species